ACGCUGGCGGCGUGCCUAACACAUGCAAGUCGAACGAGAUGCGUAUUGGAAAGCUUCGGCCGGAAGAUACGUUAUCUAGUGGCGGACGGGUGAGUAACACGUGGGUAACCUGCCUUAUGGAGGGGGAUAACAGAGAGAAAUCACUGCUAAUACCGCAUAAGCACACAGUACCGCAUGGUACAGGGUGAAAAGAUUUAUCGCCAUAAGAUGGACCCGCGUCUGAUUAGCCAGUUGGCAGGGUAAAAGCCUACCAAAGCAACGAUCAGUAGCCGAUCUGAGAGGAUGACCGGCCACAUUGGGACUGAGACACGGCCCAAACUCCUACGGGAGGCAGCAGUGGGGAAUAUUGCACAAUGGGGGAAACCCUGAUGCAGCGACGCCGCGUGAGUGAAGAAGUAUUUCGGUAUGUAAAGCUCUAUCAGCAGGGGAGAUAAUGACAGUACCUGACUAAGAAGCCCCGGCUAACUACGUGCCAGCAGCCGCGGUAAUACGUAGGGGGCAAGCGUUAUCCGGAUUUACUGGGUGUAAAGGGAGCGUAGACGGAAUGGCAAGUCUGAAGUGAAAUACCCGGGCUCAACCUGGGAACUGCUUUGGAAACUGUUGUUCUAGAGUGUUGGAGAGGUAAGUGGAAUUCCUGGUGUAGCGGUGAAAUGCGUAGAUAUCAGGAAGAACACCGGAGGCGAAGGCGGCUUACUGGACAAUAACUGACGUUGAGGCUCGAAAGCGUGGGGAUCAAACAGGAUCAGAUACCCUGGUAGUCCACGCUGUAAACGAUGAAUACUAGGUGUCGGGGUGCAAAGCAUCUCGGUGCCGUCGCUAACGCAAUAAGUAUUCCACCUGGGGAGUACGUUCGCAAGAAUGAAACUCAAAGGAAUUGACGGGGACCCGCACAAGCGGUGGAGCAUGUGGUUGAA
rnacentral:rRNA from 1 species